rnacentral:rRNA from 1 species
UACGUAGGGAGCAAGCGUUGUCCGGAAUCAUUGGGCGUAAAGCGCGCGUAGGCGGCCCUGUAAGUCCGUUGUGAAAGUCAAAGGCUCAACCUUUGAAAGCCGAUGGAUACUGCAGGGCUAGAGUUCGGAAGAGGGUCGUGGAAUUCCCAGUGUAGAGGUGAAAUUCGUAGAUAUUGGGAAGAACACCGGUGGCGAAGGCGGCGACCUGGUCCGAUACUGACGCUGAGGCGCGAAAGCGUGGGGAGCAAACAGG